AAUAACUAGGGGGUAAACAUAGAUUCGAUCGGGGCUCGGGUUCAGGCCAAGAUCAUCACAUGAUUCACAAACGCUAUUCUGGAUCGACUCGGGAACAAGUUUAUCAGCAUCUAUCUUGAGUUUAAACCAAAAUGACAAGUCUCGGCCAUAACACCAAACACAAACAGAUAUUUGCAUUAAGCACUACAAAAAGCACACGUAUGCUGUGUGAGGAAUGAACAUGAGCACAACGGAGUUUCGGGCGGGGAUCGGGACUGAAGCUCGUGCGAACUGGUCGACCACAAGCUUCAGCCCGACGCCUCACCAAAAACAGGGCAGACGUACUCGGGAAUGACCCACCUAGUUCAAAGGGGAGCGCCGCGGUGGACGACGACUCUCGGGCAGACGACCGGUGACGGCGAAGCUGUCCUUCAGUCUUGCUCUCUCCCUUUGGCUCGCCCUCUACCCUCUCGAGCUCUCUCUUCGGUCUCUUUCUUCCUAGUCACUCUU
rnacentral:lncRNA from 1 species